CACCAGGGACCAAGAGCAAAACUCAUGGGAAGUUGCCCUGAAGCUUGAGACGCGUCACAGGACUCACUCGGACAUUUCACUAGGAGGCUGCAGGACAAGGUUGAGCUGUGGAAUCAAGGUCCUGCCGACGCAUGAGCUCGAUCAACGUUGGUCUUCUAACAUGACAACAGCUAAACAUGGGGGAAAAAGUCACAAUCUGAUCAAUCGUUAAAUAGGCCUGUGAAUUUUGGGAUUCAGUAUCUUGCCCAAGGACACUUGACAUGCGGAACAGGGAAGACUGGGAUCGAACCGUCGACCUCCUGGGCCACGUCCCACAACAAUGAUAUUACAACACGUCCUCCCAUAUGGUCUAGCGGUGAGGAUUCCUGGUUUCGCCCGGGUUUCGACUCCCGCUCGUCCAGAUCAUUUCAGGAACAUGUCUGGACCUCAGUGCAGGUGUGAAAGCAGCUUUGGAAACACUGCAGAUAAAUUAAACCCCCCCUCACGUUGAGCAGAAUAAAGAGGCAGCACAUGGAGCUCCACACAGAGGGCGACCGU